rnacentral:misc_RNA from 1 species
CCUUUUUUUUUUUUUUUUUUUUUUUUUUUUUUUUUUUUUUUUUUUUUUUUUUUUUUUUUUUUUUUUACAAGUUUAUAAACUAUACAAAUAAAAAUUAUAAUAUUCUUCUAGUAACAGUAUCAGCUAGCUACUAAUAAGAAAUACUACUAACAAGUGUCAAAGUAACAAAAAAUAAUAUUAAUUAGUCUAAAGUAACAAAAUGCAGUCUUCGUUUUUCUCUUAACAUAGGUAACUAAUUCUUUAAUUUUGAGCAUAA